AUGGCAUUAAGCUUUUUUGACCAAUUUAUAUCUCCAAAUUUUUUAGGAAUUCCGCUGAUUGCUAUGGCCAUUGCCCUCCCAUGGACCCUCUAUCCAACACCAUCAACUCGAUGAUUAAGCAACCGACUACUAACCCUUCAAAACUGAUCAAUCAACCGAUUUACUCAACAGCUUCUUCUGCCUUUAAAUCAAGAGGGGCACACAAAUGAGCCGCCCUAUUGGCCUCCUUAAUAAUUUUCCUGCUAUCACUAAAUAUACUAGGCCUCCUUCCAUACACCUUCACCCCCACCACACAACUAUCUCUCAACCUAGGUCUCGCAGUCCCCCUGUGACUCGCAACAGUAAUUAUUGGAAUGCGAAACCGACCAACCCACGCCCUAGGCCACCUUCUCCCAGAGGGAACCCCCUCCUGCUAAUUCCAAUCCUAAUUAUCAUCGAAACAAUCAGUCUCCUCAUCCGUCCAAUUGCUCUCGGAGUCCGACUAACAGCCAAUCUCACAGCAGGACACUUACUAAUUCAACUCAUCGCCACCGCUUCUUUUGUCCUCCUUCCACUAAUACCAACGGUGGCCGUCCUGACAACUGCCCUACUGUUUUUACUCACCCUCCUUGAAGUGGCCGUUGCUAUAAUUCAAGCUUAUGUCUUCGUCUUACUUCUGAGCCUCUACCUACAAGAAAACGUAUAAUGGCACAUCACUCACACCCCUACCAUAUAGUUGACCCCAGCCCAUGACCCCUAACAGGAGCUAUUGCCGCCUACUAAUAACGUCAGGACUCGCAGUCUGAUUCCACUUCCACUCCACCUCUUUGAUACUACUCGGGACAAUUUUACUUACCCUAACAGUAAUCCAAUGAUGACGAGACAUCGUACGAGAAGGAACAUUUCAAGGCCAUCACACCCCACCAGUCCAAAAAGGCCUCCGAUACGGAAUAAUCCUCUUCAUCACAUCAGAGGUACUAUUUUUCCUAGGCUUUUUCUGAGCAUUCUACCACUCAAGCCUGGCACCCACACCAGAACUAGGAGGCAACUGACCCCCUGCGGGCAUUACCCCCCUAGACCCCUUCGAAGUGCCCCUCCUUAAUACAGCUGUUCUACUUGCCUCAGGGGUCACAGUCACCUGAGCUCACCACGCAAUUAUAGAGGGCAAGCGAAAACAAGCCAUCCACGCCCUAGCCUUAACAAUCCUCCUUGGUGCUUACUUCACCUUCCUCCAAGCCAUGGAGUACAAUGAGGCACCAUUCACAAUUGCAGAUGGGGUCUACGGCUGCACCUUCUUCGUAGCCACUGGCUUCCACGGGCUCCACGUCCUUAUCGGCUCCACAUUUUUAGCUAUUUGCCUUGCUCGCCAAAUCUCACAUCACUUUACAUCAGAACAUCAUUUUGGAUUCGAAGCAGCCGCAUGGUACUGACAUUUUGUAGACGUUGUAUGACUUUUCCUAUACAUUUCAAUUUACUGAUGAGGAUCAUAA